rnacentral:lncRNA from 1 species
CACCAUACCAAGCUAAUUUUUGUAUUUUUAGUAGAGAUGGGGUGUCACAAUGUUGCCCGGGCUGGUCUUGAACUCCUGGGCCCAAGCAAUUGGCCUACCCUGGUCUCCUAAAAUGCCGAGAGUACAGGCAUGAACCAUUGUGCCCGGCCUAGUCUCUUUUCUUAAAACAGAAAUACGGAGUUGUCUGCAGGAAGUCUCUGCUUUGUGCCUGGUAGACGAAGAGGAGCACAGAUCAUCCCCCAGGGGCAUCUGUCUAUCUGUCUGGCUUUGUCAGGCAUUCUGCACAACUCCCAAGUUCCAGGGUUCUGCACAUUUGCAUUAUAAGAUUUUCAAGUAGAUUUUUUUUGGGUGUUAACAUUAAUUCUAAAUAUGAAUGAGUCCCAGGAGAACAAUUAAACCCAUUUAUGCCUAGUGUUCCAUUAUUGGAACACUAAGUAUGUAGGAAUUAUUUAUAUCCUACUGCUCAAUGUCAUUGCCAAGGUCUGAUUUUUCACACAUGUCUGCAAUUCAAAAAAUUGCAACCUCCAGCAUAAAUGGGUUAAAGUAGAGUGUUUUUGCAGCUAAUGCUUUUUAAGCCUCUGUAUUUGAAAGAGGCUUACUUAGGAAGUUGAACUUGGCUGGGUCUGUCACAACUGUCGCCUGAAUACUGGUUUUUGUGCUGGACCCUGCACACUGCUGCAGGACUCGCAGCAGGAACCUACAAAUCAUGGUCCCUGCCCUCCCGGAGCUUUUGGCUUUGAAGAGGACAGCCACUGAACAUGUGGUUCUUACACCCGUGGCAGGUGUGGCUCAACUCCUGCUUUAGGGAGUUCAAGUCCAAGGACACAUCCGCUCUGUCUGAUAAAACACUUCUGAUGGGACACAGAAUGACACAAGCAGAGGGACCUGGGGAGGCUUCCGCUGGGGAGCAUCUUAGCUGUGCAGACUCGGGGAUAGCAAUGUCAUGGGAUGUCUGAUAUAUAGAUCCCCUU